rnacentral:lncRNA from 1 species
AUCUAUUUGGUUUGGAAAUCAUUUCAACCCCAGUGACAGAUGCUCUUGCUCACCACUUUACAAGGCCCUGUAAUCACUUGAGUGAAUACAGCUUGACUGAUUAAGGUUUAGAGCAUUUGUCCGACUUGUUCUACACCAACCCAGAGUACAGAUGUCGGAUCGUAAUUUGAUCACCCUGCAAUGCAGGACAUUUUAAAAUGUGCYGUGUAUUUGAGGUUUAAAAAGGCUUCUGAAGUUUUUAAUUUCCACGUUGAAAUUUCAGACUUGAUUUUCCCUUACGGAAAAUGUAUCRACCCCUACAAAAAUGUCCAUGAAUUAUAAUCCACAAAAUCAUUCAAAUUUCCUGUUGCUACAGGUUUCUUUUCCUGCUGUAGYGAACUGGCUCAAAUAGAGAUCCUACAUCUGUAAUGUGUGGUGUAGUUCUGUGGCCCACAUUGUAACAGUACAGAAGAACAUCGGCUUGCUAUUUGGUGAGAUUUGUCAGUUGGAUUUGACAAUUGGAUUUGACAGUUGGAAAGUGCUGAUAGGAAAACACAGCAGCUGCUUGUUGAAGGGAAUGAUGUCACCAUGCAUGUCCGGUACAGUCAGACCUGGGGAGGACGCUAGAUUCUACAAGCCCUUUGAUCCUGUCUCCAUGGCGCCCCCAGAUGUUCUGCUUGUCRGGGCAUUGUGAUGUGGAAGCCUGUUUAUUUACAGAGGUGGCAGUAUGAUACCUGAAUCUGGCCAGUAUUGCAGCUCAACUCCAUGAGUCCUAAAGUCUUAGAAGAAGCAGUCUCUUUGAUUUGGUGAUUGCCGAGUAUAUACCACAGCAAAGUACAAACUCRCCAUCAGAAUACCUAAAUGGGUAAAAAUGAAGAUCAGAAUAAAAUGUGAGGAUAUAUUUUCAUUCACACAUG